ensembl:snRNA U6 U6 spliceosomal RNA
ACACUUACUUCAGCCACAUGUAUACUAAAAACUUGGAACCAUAUGAAGAAAAUUAGUAUGGCCCCUGGAGAAGGAUGACACACAAAUACAUGAAGCAUCCCAUAUUUUU